AAUAAAUAUAGGGUUUGACUCGAACCGUUUGAGAGGGUUAGGGCAUUACCUGAAAGUGAAAGGCUGAAAGGGGAUCGUGAAGACAAAACAAGCGCGAGGCAAGAGAGCAAGAUGCCUAGAACUACACGCGGCUCGGAACAACGAAGGCUCCAGUGUCUACAAGACAUCCAAAAAUUGCAAGAGGAGAUCAAGUUGUUACAGAUUUCAAACGAGAAACUGAAUGGUGUCGGUCUCGACGAUAUGAGCUUCACCGAGCUGGCUUCACUUGGAAGUAUGUUGGAUGAGGGCUUCCGCAUUGUGGACGAACAACUAGACAAUGCACACGAGGAAAUAACAACCAAGCAGCUUUUUGAGUACGAUCUUAUGGGGGGACCGGACUGGACUCAAAGAAUAGAGAAGAAGAUUUGGCCUACCAAUCCCUUCUAGCGGGGAGAAGAGUAGCUUUGAGGAACAAGGCUAGAGAAUUCCGCCUCAGCCCUCCAGAAACCCAACCUUGGCGUAGCGAUGACCCUGAAAGAUUGAAGUUGGACAUCGACUCUCUGGAGAUGGAGAAAGAGAGACUAUCGACUCUCUGGAGAUGGAGAAAGAGAGACUACGUCUUUUCAACCAGAGAAUGCUUGGUAAAGAGCUUGACGGUAUGAGCUACUCCGAGCUGUUCGUGUUUAGCUUUGAGAUAUCGGGUGCUAUCAUGAAAGUUGUGUCGAUGAAGAAGAUAAAACGUGACGAAGAGAUGGGGAAGACAAAACGUCCAAGGCCGUCGGUCAACGAGCCAAUCUCCCCGGGACAGAUAUGAUGGUGGUGGCAGGUUCUCUUCGCUCGUGACAACACUAAGAGAUUGGAUAUAGUUUUAUGGUUCGUUCUGGCACUUUGUGUUAUGUCUCUAUGGUGAUAUGUUUAAACUAAAGACUUAUGGUUUUGCUAGAUUCUAUAUAAAACCCAUGAGCAAAGGAUGAAAAUGACAAUACCAUAUCUCCAUUGAAUUUUCGCCGUAAUACCAUAAAGAUAUAUUAGAAGGUACUUCAAAAAGUCCAAGCGCAUUUCUUCCAAUGGUAAAUUUUUUGUAUUGAAGUUCUAGAUCAUAAAUUAUAAGAUUUUAACUUACUGUAAUUACUGAAUUAAAAUGUUUUCCCAAGUUUUCAUUUGAGAACUCUUUCUUAUCUUCUUUUCUAUUUUUGAUUAUUUUUAUUUUAUAUAUUGUUAAUAUAACUGAUGAGAUCUCCACAAUGGAAAUGCUCUAUAGUUUCAAGUCUUGGUAUGGUUUGCUUGUUGUGCUAGAUUCCAAGUUUUCAUAUUAAAAAAAUACAAUCUAAAUCCAUCUUACUGUAUAGCUUUCAAUUGAUUAACAACUACGAUUAUAUUUCUUUGCAAAAGAUCAAAACAACCAUUCAAAAUGAAAAUAAACAGUAAACACAGAAAGAAAGAAUCAAUUUUCUUCUCAUCUUAAAAGAAUGAUCAUCUCCACUAAACAAGGCGAGAGAUGUCCGAAUUCUCCACCUCUCUCUCUUCUUCUUUUCUGACAUUAUUUCUUGUUCAACAAGGAGUUAAAAUAUUUUAUCCCCAGGGCCCUCUAUAAGCGACUUAUUAAAGAUUUCAGCUAAAAUAUUUUUUGGCAAAUUUAGGGGCCUAAAAAAUUUUUUAGAGGUUUUUUUUGUGUAAUUUUUUCCAAAAAUUUUGGGGACUUAAAAUCAAUGUUUCGUUAGGCUUUGCCCAAGACCGGUCCUACUCGUGACCUAGGUAGUAGCUAUCACUUUUGACUUAGUUAGCCAUCUUUUUUUCAUCUAUCUAAGAGCAAGUCCAUCGGAGUAUAUAGUGAAGGGUUCUAAAUGAAAAAAGAGAAAAAAAUAAAUGAGAAAUGAAAUAAAGAGAGAGAACCGGUCCCAAAUGUGGAGGUUGUAGAAGUGGUAAUAACCCCAUACGUGGCAAUAUGGUAUUGGCUUGUUGGUUUCACACGAAGGGAAAUUUUUUUUGUGUUUCUUUCUUCAGUCGGUUCUCUAUUUCUUCGAUAUUGUCGAAGUCUUUUGAUCUUCUUGCCAUGGAAGUUCAUCCACAUGACGAAUCCUUCGAUCUUCAAGAGAUUCACAGGUUUUUAUCUCUCCUCUCUCUUUCUCUUCUUGUUCAUUCCUUGAUUUUUUUCGCCAUUCUCAGCCGCGUGAAAGAGCUCGAGUACGUCACCGUAAUUGCAUAGACGAAUCUGGAGAAUCGAUUCCUUGCGGUUUCGAGGCUUUGGCCCAAGAUUAUGCUCUUCAGCUUGAGACAAAGGUGAAAGAGAUUGUUGAAGAUUAUUGCCAUGUUGAUUCAAUGGAUGUUGAAGAGUCAGGUAUGCUUCUUUUACUUUGUUGUUUAAUGACUAGACGUGUGGCUGUUGAUGUAUUGUCUCUCGUGUGAUCACACUUGAACGUGUUCAUCAAACCUUUGGUUAAGUAUUGUCUAGUCGUCAGCAGUUGAUGUAUUGUCUCCGGUCAUAUGGUGGUUUAUCCGGGCAGAUGUGUGGCUGUUGGCGUCACUCGUGGUUAUGAGAUUCUUGCUCCUCCUCGAGGUGACGACCAUCCCGUCUCUGAUGUUUUCUGGAGACUUCGAGAAAGGCUCUCUCAUGUGUUAGUGUUCUAUAUCGGCGGUAUUCUUUCUUUUUGCUGGUGUUUGGAGAUGUGAAGCACUCCGUUGUUGCUCUCGCUUUGUUUCAGUCCGUGGUGGACAGAGGCGGUGAUGUCUUCGUUGUGGUCAGUUCCUUGUGUGACAGUUUAAGCUGUUGUGUGUCGUGUUAAGGGAGUUCUGCUUAGUAGGAGUGUUCUAUCUUGGUUUUUGGUGUAACGGUUCAGCUGAUAGUUUCUAAUCACAGGUUUUUGGCUGAGUUUUUCCGGCUCCAGUCCAAUGAUUUAGAGUUUUGAAACUCAUGUUCUUUAGUUCGUGGGAAGUCGCAAGAUGAAAUUGUUUCUCUUCUCAUCUUUCUUGGUUCUUGGUUGAUUUCCAAGCUUUUGAUCUCUUCACAUUUCUUCUCGUUUACGAUUUGUAGUUGUAUUUUUAAUAUGUUUUUAUGUCAUUUUUAUUUUAAUUUUUAUGUAUGCUUUUCUUUAAUGUUAUGAUAUCCAAUCUUUCAAAUUUAAAAAGAAAAAAAAUUUUAAGAACCUCACCAAGGUUCUUCCAAUGGACCAUCCGAAAAUUAAUUAGACUAAAAAGUGUUCUAAACUUGUCAAAUCAUACAAUCAAAGACUAAUUUAUUCAUUAGAACCUAAAUGGGUUUCUAACCAAUGGAGAUGGUCUAAAAUCCUUAUUUUUCAAAUAUUAUUUUUUUUCAUUUAUUUUAAGUUAAUGGGCUUUAACUUAGGGCAUUGUGCGAAAGUGAAAGGGGAUCGUGAAAACGAAACUAAGACCAUCUUCGUUUAAUAAGAAUUAAAAAAAUGGCAAUAAACAUAAGUUACGGCUCUUAAUUAGGGAACAUAAGCGACGUCUCUUGUGAGCUCUAUCUUCUCCCUCUUUCGAUUUCCCGAGCUUCAGAUUAACAAACAUGGGCACCACUGGAAACAAGAAUAUCAACGCCAAACUGAUAACAUUUUCAACGCAAUUGCUUAGCUGGGAUUUACUGAGCCAACACCAAUACAAGCUCAGGAAUGGCCAAUGGCUUUAAAGGGUAGGGAUUUAAUUUGGCUAUUUCUCCACCUUCUCCGACUACAAGCAAUGUGUCAUCUCCUUCUCCUUGUGAUGUUAGAGUAGGUGAAGAACCUGUUUCUUUGACUAAGAGAAGAUUCAGGUCUAAGAAUAUUGAACCUAUACCUUUUUGGAAAAUGCAGGUGGUUCCUUUCAAUGGAAAAUUGGUUAAGGCCAAAAAGAGGUGCCAUUGGUGUGGAACCAGAGGAUGUGAGGAUUUGGUUAGCUGUUUGAGUUGUGGAAGAGAGUUCUUUUGUGUAGAUUGUAUCGAUAAAGGUAUCUUGAGUUAUUAUGUUUGCUCUCGUACUUAUCUUGUUUACAGAGAGCACUGGUCUUUCUCAUUAGAGUUUAGAAUCAUCAUCUAGAUUAGUAGUUCCAUCAUAGCAUAGUUAUAAUAAGAAGUAAUCCCAGUAGAUUCAAUUAGUUUUAUGGAGCUAGGAUGUAGAGACGAUUAAUCAUUCACCUAUGGUAAAAUGUUAGGAUACUCUUUCCUGCAAUUCUCAGCUGCAGUAACUUCAUUUGAGAUUGUUUCUGCAACUUCCUUGUUUCUAAUUUGCUUUCUUGUCUGUUUUUUGUUUCUACCCUAAAUAAGAAACUAGCAUCAGAGUGAAAAAUCAUUGUAUCUUUUAACUAGAGUUCUUAGUUACGUUUAAUUACUAAAAUAUUCAUUAAGAGACUCUAAUGGUUUUGUGGGUUAAUCAUGCUCUAAUUGGGAAACGGAAGCCCGACGAGAGAGAUGUCCACAUACUUUAGAACUACACGCAGAUCUGUAAAACAAAGGCUCUAAUAUAUACAAGUUAUCCAAGAUUUGGAGAAUGAUUGGUAAAGACUAAAGAGCUCGACGGUAUGGGUUACUUUGAACUGUCGGUGUUUAGCUUUGAGAUAACGCGUGGUUUGUUGAAAGCCGGAGAUAUGAAGAAGAUAAAACGUGCAAGGCCGGUCAACAAGGAACCAAUCUCCCCGGUACAGAUAUGAUCGUGACUUUAUAGGUGGCCAGGUUCUUGGCUCGUGACAUUAAGAGAGUUGGAAUCGUUUUGUUUAAUAAAGAGAGUCUUUGUGACUAUGUACUUAAAGAUAAUUUUAUUGUUUUCCUGACUGUGUUAUGUCUCUCUGGUGAUAUGAUGAUAUGAUUAAACUAAAGACUGACUCGAUAUGGUUUUGCUAUAUCCCUUAUGUAUUAAAGUUUAAUACAUAAAUCACUUGACAAAUCAAAUUUUGACAAGUAGAAAAUGCUUUACAAAUAAUAAAAAAUAAUCAACUAAAAAAUCAACAUUCGGAUCCCUAAUUUUCAGCAAUUCAUUUAUAAUUUCUAUCAUAAUAUUGCAUUCACGUUCAAAGUAAAUUGAUCACGAUUAAAAACUGUUUUCUUCCCCUAUAUAAAUUCUUAUCAACAAAUUUAUUUUCUAUUUAUUUUUUCUGACUUUUCUAUUCUCUCUGUUAUCAAACAUGCAAAAUCGAAGAUCCUUUCAUCUCUUCUAAAUUUUCAAUUUUGAUCUCAAGUUCUCGACCUGCUUUUUCAUAUCUACUUUCUUAUGUCUAUACCAAUUCAAUUUUUUUAUUCAUCACCUGGAUUACUACUUAAAAGUUCAUGAUCAUCACAUUUUUCAGAUCAGACAGUGGAAAACAUUCGUCUUUGAACCUUUCUCAAAGCAACAGUUGGUUGGCGGUUGAGUUUAAAUCACGACAGAGAGAGAUUAAUUUUGUUGCAGGCUUCUAGAAUUUGCAGAUCUGCUCUACAGUAAACUUUGAGAAGGUUGAAGACGCUGGAUUACAAAGAACCGAGAUGUGGAGGAGAAAGCGACGUCGGAGCUGCCGCUCUUCAUCAUCACUCAACGCUGGAAUCUUCACAAUCCAUUGGAGAUCCACACCGUUAUCAUAUGAGCCGUACCAAGCCACCGAUGUUGAGAUCCGAGCAAAUGAGAUCACCAUCCACUCUUGCUUGCGUACCAAGAAUUUUCUUCCCCACUUUCAAUCGACCACUUAUCAGUACUACUUGUCUUGAGCCACCGGAUACAUAUGAAAUGAAGAUGAUGAAUCAAAUGAAUUUGACCGGGAUGAUCGAACUAAAAUUGACCGGGAUUUGUUAAUGAUUGAAUAGAGAAAAUACGGAAUUUUCCUGUGCUAUCCAUAUAUGUGACUAUAAUCAUGGAUCCCUUUUCAUUAAAAACUAAAAACGUUACAAUU